CAGUCGCCGCGGUAAUACUGAGGGUGCAAGCGUUAAUCGGAUUUACUGGGCGUAAAGGGCGCGUAGGUGGUUAUGUAAGUGAGAUGUGAAAUCCCCGGGCUCAACCUGGGAACUGCAUCUUAUACUGCGUAGCUGGAGUGCAGUAGAGGGUAGUGGAAUUUCCGGUGUAGCGGUGAAAUGCGUAGAUAUCGGAAGGAACACCAGUGGCGAAGGCGGCUACCUGGACUGACACUGACACUGAGGCGCGAAAGCGUGGGGAGCAAACAGGAUUAGAUACCCCCGUAGUCCCUGUCUCUUAUAC
rnacentral:rRNA from 1 species